GAUCCAGAUCGACGACGACGGCCCCCCCGUCGCCGCCCCCUCCUCCCCCAUCCCGCCGCCGCCUCUCUCUCCCAUCCAUCCCCUCCCCACCCAUCCUCCCCCUUGUCUCGCUCCCACCCACAGACGCCGCCACUGCCCCAACCCAAACCAUCUCCCUCCUACCUCGAUCCGCUGUCACACCCACCGUCGACGACCCAGAUCAAGCAGGCGAGGCAGUGCUUCCAGACCCGCGACAGCGGUAGUGGGCUCGCGACCUACUCCAUCGUGAUCCUCUCCAUCCCGUCCCCUUCCUCCCCGCAGCGGAACCUUGGUUUUGACCCGUCUCGUUGCUGUGUGCACAAGUCCGGGAGGCAUGGGGCCGGGGACAUGUGCCAGAUCUGCCCCGACGGCCUGGGCACCACGAUGGAAGGCGAGGUCCUCACCGCCUUCGACGUCUGCCGCUUCCUGAUCUACGUGCACGAGCGCAAGGAGGGCACCCAGGCCUGCCUCCAGCGCUUCUGCCAACUCGACCGCAGCGCAAAGCGCUUCUGCCUGCUCCGCCCCCGCCCGCCCCGGGCCGCCAGUACUUCCCCUGCCCCCCCUCUGACCCUGCUUCUUGAUUUUGAUCUGUGCUGUACCGCUGUACGAACCCGCUGCUGCUUAUCCCAUCGCUGUCGCGUGCUGUCGAGUUAGCUUCUCAUGCCACUGCUGUAUGAUUUCGUAUGAUGAGUCGAUUAGAGGAGAUGGGCGGAGAAGGAGAUUUUGGGAUGCAUGCCAUGCUAGGAUCUACUAUACAGGAGGUAGGGCGGGAGCUGGUAGUAGGCCGCGUCGGUUCUCAGUCAAGUCCCAAAGGACGCAACAACCCCUGGGAGAGUUUUUUCUUGCAAAUAACUGCGCCAAUAGAUGGGAUUCGCCCGAGACGGUGCUCUGAGGAAGAGUUUAGGCAUAACACCGGAUUAAGAGGCUUGACAAUCGGUCAUGGUUAACCUCACCAUAAAACUUCAGAAGCUAAUCCUACAAAGAUAACGAACUCGAUAAUGCAGGCUGGUCAUGAUUGUACUGAUCACUGAGUUAACUAUGUUUUUAGGAUUGGUUUCUUUUGUUUUAUCUUCUGGGCAAUCGUCGUUGCUAGUGACAUCAGGGUUGAAUAGGUUGACGACAACGCACUUGUUACUGAUGAACACAAUGAUUAAAGAGAACCAACCUGCUUCUGUUCAUUUCUGCUACACUGUUUCUACCUGUUUGCGUGUAGAACCAUUCUUGAGCCUGAAUGGUACUACUUUUCUUGUUUUUUGUCUUUUUUGUUCUUAUGAAAAAUCUUUUGUUCAUUUUAUUAUAUACAUGCUAGAGCACACCUCACGAGGAUCACCUUUGAAUCAUGCUAAGUUACGAAGUUGGCAAUACCUUUGAAUCACCUUCGCCCCUCCCGCGUGCUGAACAUGUGCAGGUGGACUUGUUGCUCCAUGUUCUGCAGCUGCAGGCGCAUCUUCAGUUUACUGCCUGUUUUUGCUAAGCAAUGUGCCAAUGGAAGCAUGCAUGGUUUGGCUAUAUGAAGUUCAUCAAAUCAUAAAAGAGUGAAUAGGUGUUGGCUUUAGAGUGCUAGCUUGUAUACUCUAGCAGGCGAAGCACGUACGUGCAAGCUAACUUCAACAAAGCAGACUAGUAGCUUAAUUGAUUCUUUGUUAGCUAGCAGUACUCGGAUGACUAACUGACUGUGUAUUUGUACUAGUAGCUAGCAGUACUCGGACUAGUAGCUAGCAGUACUCGGAUGACUAACUGACUGUGUAUUACAAUUGCUGGGUGCACUUAUGAUACACUUAGUGUGCCACCUCCAGAUGACCAACUGACUGUGUAUUUGUAGUAGCACGUGCCGACGAAGCAGGAACACAGAGUUGCGGAGAGCAGCAGCUCACAAUCGUGGUCAGGGACCGACUGUCCGAGAGUAGACCGUGGAGACGUGGAGUUCAGUCCAGGCAGUUCCUUUCGCGUAGAUUUUGCUGGUUGUGGCAUUGCUUGAAUUUGGGUUAUUGGAUAGCUGGAGCUGCGUAGGAUUUCUUCUAAUUUACUACAGGAGACGAAGACCACGCUUCAUGAAUUCAGGGCACCCCCGAGGUGGUCAUGUGGGAUCCUCUCGAACAACUCGUGCUCGCUGUCGACUUCGAUGGCAGGGUCACCCGCUCCAUCGGCCCCCUCUCCGGCGGGAUGUACUACUCGGAUUUCAUCCCCUACGUCAACUCAUACACAGAGAUCUACAUGUACUACUCGGAUUAAACUCUGUUCUGCUGUACAAUUACACUCGCAAGCUGUCUUACCGUAUUAUUGGAUCUGUUAAUCACUGCCUACAUGUUAGAUCGGUUUGAUUUUGAGAUGCAGCAAGACUUCAAUGUUUCUGAAUUCUGAUGUGAAAGCAUGUCUAUGUCAGUUGAACUUUGCACGACUGUUCCUGUAGAACAUUGGUUAUAGCGUACAUGGCCAUUAGAAACGCGGAAGCUUACUGUGGCUAUGGUCGCCCACGCUCUGCUUCUCCUGGUCUCUGUGUACCCUGCUUGCAUACUGUCUGUUUGUGAUUUAUUCUAGCAAGUAUCCGUUCAUGAGAAAUAAGCUCUCCAGGAUUCACCGGACCAACAACUAGUUCUAGCAUGUUUAUUUCAAGCAAUUUCUGAUUCAUGCUGUUUGAUGAAUCAGUACCCAUGUCGGGAGACUAGUAGAACUUGCAAACUUUAGUCACUUAUCCUGCUGUUCAUGUCCAUAGUGAUGAGAAUUUAUGGGUAUUGCUAUUUGCCUCUGGUGACAUGUGAGAAGCACUCAUCUACUCCCUCCGUCCAAAAAUACGUGUCGGAGGAAUGGAUGUAUCUAGACAUAUUUUAGUUCUAGGUACAUCCAUUUUUAUGCAUUUCUGCGACAAGUAUUUCCGGACGGAGGGAGUAUAUGUUUAUAUUUUGAGCAGCUGGGUACAACUACAGUUGCAAAAUCAUCCAGCCAAAUUUUGGGAGGAUGGCAUAAAAGAUUACAUAACCCAUGCUUUCGAAAUCAUGGUAUUCUAUUUAUGCUUCAUUCUGAAAUCUAUUGUGCACUGCCAAGUCCAUGAGGCGAAGCGCUCACUGCUCGACUAUUUCUUUACUGAACUGGGAGCAACAAAGGCAAG